rnacentral:lncRNA from 1 species
CUCCUGUCCCCGCCCUGCCCUGCCCUGCCCUGCCCUGCCCUGCCCGCGGUGGGGGCGUUGCGGGGCGGCGGGCGAUCUCGACGUGGCAGCCGGAGGGAGGGAGCCGUGACCUUCCUGCCCAGCGAGCGGCGGGGCUGCUUCCCCCCGUCGUGAGCCGCCUUUAAUUCGCUUCGUCUGCGCCACCUCUCGGGUGUCGCGGAUAACCUUCCUGGGCCUGUCAGGCCAGAGAAGGCCCCAGGGGCCUACAGCUCCCGAGGUUGAGUCACCAGCCCCGGGGGAGCACCCCUGGCUCAGAGCUCAGCAUAUCCCAUGUGCUGUGUGCACAUCAGCACGUAAGGACAGGUCCCAGUGGCGAAUGGAGAGCGCCAAAGCAGCCACGGCGCAACCUCAGCGCCAUGGAGAUCGGCUGCCCAGAGAGGUUGUGGAGUCUCCUUCUCUGGAGACACUCAAGACCCACCUGGGCACCUACCUGUGCAACGUGGUCUAGGGAGCCUGCUUUGCAGGAGGGUUGGACUAGAUGAUCUCUACAGGUCCCGUCCAGCCCUUCAGUUGUGUGUUUCUGUGAUUCUAUGGGACGGGCAGGUGGAUGCUGCUUCAUAUCAGGCUUGCACUGCAGCCUUCCAAUAGGCCUUCUCUAGUGCAGAAAACGUUUUCAAAGAUGUCACCAAAAAAUUGAUGUUGUUUUGAAAAAUUCCAGCAAGGUAAUAUGACAACACAGAAGAUUUCAAAGAGCCAUAUUUCCUAAGAGCUCAACGCCCAUAACUGGCUUAAUAGAUGGAAUUAAAUGUUGAGCUUUAUGAUUUGUCUGAAGGUGAAAGAGACCUGUAAGAAGCAUUGACUCCAGCUUCUGGCUCCACACAGGACCACCAAAAAUCAGACCGUCAUUCAGAGAUCUCAUAUCUGUCUUGGCUGCUAAGAAGCACUUGGCACAUUUCCAGCCUGGUUGGGUUGUCUGUGUGAGCCUGAAAAAAAAAAUACUGCAGAAAUCAAAUGAGCUCUUGGAACUGUCUUCUUCUGAAGAAAUGGUCACCAUGCCCUUGUGCCUUUUAAAUUCCUCUCUCAACUUCAGCACCUCAGCAGCUUUGGAAAUUUGGUCUUAUGAUAGCAAGUGGAAGGAAUUAAAGACAAAUUACUCAGAUAACACGGAAUUUAAACAGUCCUUAAUGGAGAGCUUGCCAAAACCAUGAAAUCAUGUCAUGAUGAGAAGUGUCACAAAUGAUCCCAUUGAGCUCAACAUGGUGCUUUGUGUUGGCAUGUGCCUGUGAAUUGAUGCUCAAACAUCAAGAAACUGGGCUACGGAGAGGCAGGAGCAAGUUCCAAGCCAAAGAGACUGAAGAUCAGUUGUGGAAGCUUCAGGAAGGCUCUAUAAAAAUUAU